GACGAACGCUGGCGGCGUGCUUAACACAUGCAAGUCGAACGGAAAGGCCCUGCUUUUGUGGGGUGCUCGAGUGGCGAACGGGUGAGUAACACGUGAGUAACCUGCCCUUGACUUUGGGAUAACUUCAGGAAACUGGGGCUAAUAUCGGAUAGGAGCUCCUGCUGCAUGGUGGGGGUUGGAAAGUUUCGGCGGUUGGGGAUGGACUCGCGGCUUAUCAGCUUGUUGGUGGGGUAGUGGCUUACCAAGGCUUUGACGGGUAGCCGGCCUGGGAGGGGGACCGGCCACAUUGGGACUGAGAUACGGCCCAGACUCCUACGGGAGGCAGCAGUGGGGAAUAUUGCACAAUGGGCGGAAGCCUGAUGCAGCAACGCCGCGUGCGGGAUGACGGCCUUCGGGUUGUAAACCGCUUUCGCCUGUGACGAAGCGUGAGUGACGGUAAUGGGUAAAGAAGCACCGGCUAACUACGUG
rnacentral:rRNA from 1 species